GCCGGGUGCGGUGGUGUGUGCCUGUAGUCCCGGCUACUCGGGAGGCUGAGGUGGGAGGAUCGCUUGAGCCCAGGAGUUCUGGGCUGUAGUACACUAUGCUGAUCAGGUGUCUGCACUAAGUUCGGCAUCAAUAUGGUGACCUCCUGGGAGUGGGGGACCACCAGCUUGCCUGAGGAGGGGUGAACCGGCCCUGGUUGGAAAUGGAGCAGGUCAAAACUCCCGUGCUGGUCAGUAGUGGGAUUGCACCUGUGAAUAGCCACUGCACUCCUGCCUGGGCAACAUAGUGAGACCCCGUCUCU
rnacentral:SRP_RNA from 1 species